rnacentral:rRNA from 1 species
UACGUAGGGUGCGAGCGUUAUUCGGAAUUACUGGGCGUAAAGCGUGCGCAGGCGGUUUUGCAAGCCGGGUGUGAAAUCCCCGGGCUCAACCUGGGAAUGGCAUUUGGGACUGCAAGGCUCGAGUGCGGCAGAGGAGACUGGAAUUCCUGGUGUAGCAGUGAAAUGCGUAGAUAUCAGGAGGAAUACCGAUGGCGAAGGCAGGUCUCUGGGCUGACACUGACGCUCAUGCACGAAAGCGUGGGGAGCAAACAGG